GACGAACGCUGGCGGCGUGCUUAACACAUGCAAGUCGAACGGAAAGGCCCUGCUUUUGUGGGGUGCUCGAGUGGCGAACGGGUGAGUAACACGUGAGUAACCUGCCCUUUACUUUGGGAUAACUUCAGGAAACUGGGGCUAAUACCGGAUAGGAGCUCCUACUGCAUGGUGGGGGUUGGAAAGUUUCGGCGGUUGGGGAUGGACUCGCGGCUUAUCAGCUUGUUGGUGGGGUAGUGGCUUACCAAGGCUUUGACGGGUAGCCGGCCUGAGAGGGUGACCGGCGACAUAGGGACUGAGAGACGGCCCAGACUGCUACGGGAGGCAGCAGUGGGGAAUAUUGAACAAUGGGCGGAAGCCUGAUGCAGCAACGCCGCGGGCGGGAUGAAGGCCUGCGGGGUGUAAACAGCUUGAGCAUGUGACGAAGCGUGAGUGACGGUAAUGGGUAAAGAAGCAACGGCUAACUACGUG
rnacentral:rRNA from 1 species